rnacentral:rRNA from 1 species
GACGAACGCUGGCGGCGUGCUUAACACAUGCAAGUCGAACGGAAAGGCCCUGCUUUUGUGGGGUGCUCGAGUGGCGAACGGGUGAGUAACACGUGAGUAACCUGCCCUUGACUUUGGGAUAACUUCAGGAAACUGGGGCUAAUACCGGAUAGGAGCUCCUGCUGCAUGGUGGGGGUUGGAAAGUUUCGGCGGUUGGGGAUGGACUCGCGGCUUAUCAGCUUGUUGGUGGGGUAGUGGCUUACCAAGGCUUUGACGGGUAGCCGGCCUGGGAGGGUGACCGGCCACAUUGGGACUGAGAUACGGCCCAGACUCCUACGGGAGGCAGCAGUGGGGAAUAUUGCACAAUGGGCGGAAGCCUGAUGCAGCAACGCCGCGUGCGGGAUGACGGCCUUCGGGUUGUGAACCGCUUUCGCCUGUGACGAAGCGUGAGUGACGGUAAUGGGUAAAGAAGCACCGGCUAACUACGUG